rnacentral:rRNA from 1 species
AUGGCAUGGGACAAAUUAACAAGACCUAAAGGUAAAAGCGGUAUGGGCUUUCGUGAUCUUAGACUUUUUAAUCAAUCUCUUCUUGCAAAACAGGCUUGGCAUUUAUUGAUAUAUCCGGGCUCACUGUGUGCGAAGUUGAUGAAGGCAAAGUAUUAUCCUUAGGGACAUAUUCUGGAUAUUGUGUUCCUACAUUCUUCAUCACUAACUUGGCAUGGUAUUAUGCAUGGCCUGGAACUCCUUAAGAAAUGGGUCAUUUGGAGGGUGUGUGAUGGUUCUAGUAUUACUAUUUGGAGGGAUAAUUGGAUUUCGUGAAACUAUGGCCUAAAAAUUUCUCCAAAAAGGCAUAAUACAAGAUUGAAGUGGGUAUCUGAUUUAUUCAUGAGCACGAGUAAAUGUUGGGAUGAGAAUUUGGUGAAGCAUAUUUUCUAUCCACAUGAUGUUGAUGAGAUUCUGAAGAUUCGUAUUCAUGCCCAUGGGGAGGGAGAAUUUGUUUCGUGGAACUAUGAGAAGAAUGGUAUAUUUUGUAUUAAAAGUGCAUACAAUUUUGCGCUUAAGAUGAAGGAGAGUCAAGAUAACAUUGGUCAAUCUAGUGGUGAACCAGAGAGGGAAAGGAGGAUAUGGUAG